GUGUGAGGGGCUCCGGGCAGGGGGUGCUCUCCUGUCUCUCCUCCGCUCCGGCACCGCGGGGGAUACUCGGCGCCUAUUAAACCGAGCGUACCCGGAGCCGGGGAAGGACACAGUGCUGCGUGCUAGAGGCGAUCGAGGUUCCUCCUCCCGGGCUUUCCCCUCUAGAGAAGCCUGGGCGUGGUUGGGCAGUGACUGGAACCAAGGUGUAAUUUCCUGAACGUUGACAGCAGCGAUAAGGUGCGUGGACACAGUGGCUACGGCACAGUUCACAGAAUCACAGAAUGUGUCAGGUUGGACCACAGUGGGUCACCUGGCCCAGCCUCUCUGCUCAUGCAGCGCUAUCCCAGAGCACAUGGCACGGGACUGUGUCCAGACGGUGCUGGAAUGUCCCCCGUGAGGGGGAUCCAUGCCCUCGCUGGACGAUCUGUUCCAGUCCAUGUUCUUACUAGCGCCGGAUAACUAUGAGCAGAAAAACUCUGGUGUGCUCUGCUCCUACCCAGAUGUCUUGUGUGCGUGUGCCAGUCCAAGUAAUAAUUUUGUCCCUCUGCUUGCAGGACAGACUUGGGGAUGUUAUGAUUAAUAUGGAUUGAUCCAAUGUGAACUUUUAAUUGACAUCUACGGAGGCUGAAACCUUCCUGUUGAGGCAGAUCCUUGCAGAUGGUUUAGUGGGUGUACACUGAUUUUUCAUCCACAGGGCCUUGAGAUUACAUUCGGUUUGUGUGCCAGCACAAACCGGUCUAAAACAUCUUUUCCCAAAUCAUAAAGACCAUGAUUUGCGUUUUUCAGGAUUUGUGUGUGCGUUUUUAGAUAUUUUUCAUUGUUUUGACAGCAUCUGUCUUGUGUGGAUUUUUUUUCUUUUUUACUUAUCACAGUUUCAGAGACACAGAAACACCAUUGCACUGAUACCAAUGAGAGCAUCUGCAGAGCUCUGUAACCACCUUCUGUCUCUCUCUGGCAGAGAAUUGGAAGUGCAGGGGGGACGCGUGUCUUGUAUUGCCAUUACUGACUCUCCACGUCAUCUUCCGUGUGCAGAGGCCUCGGCUCCUGUGUCAGAGGUUGUGUGAAGUUAAUUAAGGAAUUCCUGUAUUCUAUUCCCUACAUUGGAAACACACCAAGCCUGACUAACAUUUCUGGAGGGGCAAGAUGCAAAACCAGAAGUAAACAGGAUCUCGGUGCAACAAUACUUUUAUCUAAAAGAGAUUGAUUCUUAUUCUCUGAUUAGAAUUAUUAUCAAGAUGCUGAAGUGCAUAUUCCUCAGCAAAAAUCUGUAAUUCCCAAAUAUAAAUGAGUGCUGUUAAUGCCAAUGAAUGGCUCCCACAGCUAUAUCUGGUCUCACUUAAAAGGUAAGAAACAGCCCUGUUGAUGUUGUGCACAUGAAAGUCUCUGUGCCCUGGCUUACACGUGCUGGCCCUGGCUUCUGCAGCAUUAUUUGUGUUGUCCAGCUACUGUCUUAAUUCAUCCUGUCAUUGUUGUUUCCAGAUUUUUCAAACAAACAUCUGACUCACUAUGUCAUUGCCUCUCUGUAAACUCCUUGCACUACACCUCCAGUGUGUCCUGGCAAACUACUGUUGCUUCAUACAAAUGGGCUCCAUGGCUCCAUUUCUUUUCAGAAGCAACCAGUGCUUUAUUUUUGUUUGAAAUUAUGUUUUUCCUCUGCAAUUCUCUGCAAUGGACUAAUGGAGGACUAUAAUCCACCAAUUGCCUGACUUUUAUCCCACUUUCAAAGCAGGAGCGUUCCAACAGAAAUUGCAGACGCACGUCAAAUUUUUCAUCUGCCCUUAGCUAGUUGUAGGCUUGAGAGCAGGAUUGUGAGACUGGGAAAUUAAUCGGUCUUGAAACUUCACAAUUAAUCAUAGCACAGCCAGGGCUGUGCUCAAGAAUUUAAGAAAAAAAUCCUUAUGGGUAUUAGGUGCCUGAUUACCCCAGAAAUCAAAGACUGUGUAUGUUCUAACUUUGCUGAACACAUCUCUGGAAGCAGUUAAUUUUAUUGCUGAUCCAGCUUUUCUGUCUCUUAGCCAUAUGACAACUACAAAAAUUGAUUAUUCGGAAAAGUAAUAUUAGGAAAACGCUUAAUGCAUUUUUAGCUGCUUCUAAUGGGAUUUAGCAGCUGGAAACAAGAAGAGCUGGCACUAAGUAAUCAUGGCUGUUCUUAGACAGCUGUGUGGGAACCAGAGUAUCAGGACUCUGAAAUAAAUCACCUUUUUUUUUUCUGUAUUUUAAAAAAUGCAAUGAAGAAUUUUUAAGCUAGACCUCUAUACUUGCACCUCAGACAGUUAAAGUCAAGUGGAAUUCAUUGUUAAAUCCAGUCUUGUAAUAACUUUUAGAUGAAAAUGCCCCUGGGUUAUGUAUGAUUUUUUUAUUUUUUUUAUUUAAUGCUUAUGUCAGUUACUAUCUUUGAAAGGCCUCAGGUUUGAAUUUAAAUUCCAUGCUACAUUAAUUUUUAAGCAGAACAAAAAUGUAGUUAUUUCUGCUCCCCUUUUCUCUUUAUGAGCAACAAUCCAAUAGACCCAUUUUCCUGUUUUGGAAGAAAGCAAUUUUAUGCAUGUUGGUGCCUAGGAAUUGCAGUCAGAAAAGUAUCUCGGUAAAAUGACCCUUCCAUAGGUUUUCUGUCUGAAUAGCUCCUAUACUCACUUAGUUCCAUUUAUAAAUCAAAAGCAUGAUUUUUCUGAUGCAAGCACCAUAAGCUGAGUUUUGAAUCUAAAAAGUCAGACUGAGUUCUUUCCUCUGUUACACCAUUACAGUUUUGUCACUGAAAUGCACCAAACAAGUUUAUUUGGUGAUGCUUAAGGGGGAAUGCAGUCCCACUGUGUGGGAAUGGAAUGCAUGUAUUUGUCAGAAUUUUAUCAAAAAAAUAAGCUCUAUUUUUUGGUCCUAAAGUACUUCAAGUAUUUAAUACUAUCAUGGAAAGAGCCAGGAAUGCAUGCCUAGAGUAAGAAGGUACCAUUUUUUUCAUACUAUUUUCCUUAUGGAAGGAAAUUACUUUGGGAUGAAAUCUAAGCAGUCAUCUACCUGUCUGUGGUAGUGCUUUGUGUUAGUGUCAGAUCCUGCUGACCCCUGUGGUACUUUGUGUUCAAGAAAUUGCAAAAUUCAGGGUCUACAGAGGAUUAUACAGGUGGAAUCCUAUGGAACUGGAGCUCACAGUCAAGAAUAUCCUUUCUAUGAUAAUUUUGAUUCUGCCUGCAUAUUCUCUAACAAGUCCUGUGCCGUUGGUUUGUAAUUCUGCCUCACUUCUCAUUACAUGUUUCAUUACAUUUAAGGAAUGUAUCCUUGGCCUUUCCUCGCCUUAAUGUGAAUUCUAUGCUGGAAAAACAAUUUCUAGAGCACAAUUCAUCUACUAGAUUCCAAAUUUAAUCACAACUUUUUGGAAUUAUGCAUCAUCCUUUGUGCUUUUUCUUCUGCUAAAGCUGUUUGCAAAGCUGUUUUAAAGCUGUUUUGACUCUGCUAGAUACCCAGGUUAUUUUUUUUUUUUUCAUUUCAGAGUGGUGUCAGCCACAUCACUGAGGUAGCAGUAGAAAAUGUUUGUUUUAACAUUUGAUCAUGGAUCAAGAAAUUGAGCUCAAAAUUGAGCUCAACUUACUAGUAAACACAGCAAUAGUGAAGCUGAGAAGUUAAAAUAAACCUCUGAGAAAAUGGAAAAUAUUCCCAAGAGCAGUCAAAAAUGUUAUUGCUUUAUCUUAAGGUGGAAUCUUUUGCUGCCUUAUGAAGUGCAGAUCUAAAUAACUGCAUAGUGUUAGACCCUCAGAAAGGUCACUUUACACAGUUUGGGGAACCUGUUGGUAUAUAUUUAGGUGUGCACAUGUGUUCAGGAAAGGAUCAGACAUUAUCCCCCACUAUUCCCUUUUUCCUUUACUCUCCACUUCAGAUAUACAACACUGCGGUCACAUCUCUUUUUGUACCAGAAGAUUUUCAAGAUUACUGGGAAAAACAUGUAACUUCUUGGACCUUGAAAAGGAAGCUUUAAGAUUUUUAAGGAGCACAUUUAAACCUAACACAGCUGGAAGAUUUCUCCACUGAUUUAAUGUGCACAGACUCAGACUCUUAGUAUCUGAGAAGAGAAUCAAGAGAAAGACAUACUCAGUUGAAAGAGAAUUAGUCCAGCCUUUCAGAAUGACCAAAGCUUGAAGUAUCAAUGAAGGAGACUCUGAAGAGGAUUGUGAGGAACAGUAGCCAAGAAACUAGCCAGGCUUCCAGUGAAGAGACUGAAAUACCAGCCUCCAGUAUAGAGAGACACUUCUCUUCGACGUUUUAAAUGUUUGCAGGGAGCAAACAUUGGGGUAUUUUAUUUGUUGUCUCCAAAAGUCUCUUUGCAACUAGAUUACUUUCUUUUCAUUUAUAGCAGUUCAUGACUAUUCUGAUGAUGACUGAAGACAUAAUAUAGAAAAAAAUAUAUAAGGUUCUGUUUUACAGUGCAUUUUGUUCACAACAAAGGGUGCCAUGGAUUGUGCACCCUAGGGCACCCUAUAACAAGUUGUGUAAGAAGUCUGUGGCAUGGCCUAGAAGCAGAUUAAAUUGUUUUUGUGGCUUUCUUUUCCUUUUGGCAAGGGAUGUAUGAAAUUCUCAGCUGGUAGAGGUCCAGAAACUGAGCAUCGUCAGCAAAAAGGUAGAUGUAAGUAGCUGAAGCCUUCAUUUACCAACCCAGAUUGUGCAACUUUGCUAAGUCAGAGGACUGAGUUAGUGUGAGGUCUAUGACGUAGAAAGAGUUACUGGAACUUUUUUACUUUCAAGUGCUGAUAAUAUUUCUGAUAGAGUCCAAGACCAAAUUCAGAACAUGUUCUGAUGCAACAUCACCACCACCAAAAUAACCCAAACUUCCAAGAGAAUGCAUCUGAGUGGCACUGUGACUUGCACACAAAUGGAUGUCAGCAGAUUUGAUUCAAAUUUCAUUCUCAGUUACCUAGCUGAAUUUAGAGAUCCAUCACCACUUUGACACACACUCUUCUGGGCUGGUUCCUGCUGGCAGUCCCUCCUGGUUCCAGAAGUACACAGUGGGAUUGCCUCUUGCCCUAGGGACACUCAGGCUGUGGAUGUGGGCUGGUUUUCAGGAACUGAAUCUGUAGUGGUCAGCUGACUCCUUUCUGAUCCUUUCAUUGAUACUGCAGUCCGCUGCACAUGGCAUCACAUCCACAUGACAGAUCUGGAACAGAGCUGGCUUCCCUGCUAUCAUUAACUUUGGUUCAUCACGAUGCUUCAGUGACUGCCAAGCUCUCCAGUAGUAAUGGGAUAAAUAUAACCAGCUGAAGCAACAACACGAGUGUAAGCAGCAACUUUAUCUUGCCAUUUCAACUUUACACUUUGGAAAAGGAAUGACUGUUCUGAACAACUAUCACAGCAGUUGCUGAUAUUAGCCUGAGCUGUUGAUGGUGACAGGGUUUCCAAAGGAGACUUAUGGCAUCCCAGUGGAUUCACAUUUUAUAUACAUCAGCUUGUAAAUGGUUGGAACUUCCUUUUGGCAUUACAAGGGAUCAGCAGUAAAGAAGCUACAUAAGCCAAUUUCUCCCUUGUAGUUGAUGCAAUUAACUUUGCAGACAGCCACGCCCAAAGUAUACAUGUAAUGCUUUCAGUGCUAGGUUUCCUUAUUCAUUUUAAUGGAACAUCUUUCUUGGGUUUGUCCAGGAUUUAUAUUGAUAUAAACAAAGGACACCAAAUCAGGUUCCUAAAAGUGACCAUCAAAGAACUCAAUGCUAAACAAGGGCUAAAUACUUAUCCCCACUGCUGUAAACCCAAACAAAUACCAACAAAUCAAAAUGAUUUAGUUUGACAGGAAACUAUGAUACCUAACACAGAAUAUAUAUAGCCUUCAGCACUCACUGUGGUAAAUCUCAACUGACUUCACUUGAGGGACUGAGAGCAAAAUGUGUCCCCUGUAUCUUUAAAAGACCAACAGCCUUAGAAUGGCAAAUUAGUCUCAGUCUGCAGCCUGUAUGUUAAAUGAAUGACAUUUUAUCAUACCUCCUCCACGAGUGCCAAUAGUAGGGGUAGAUAUAGGGUGUACCUGUGCUUCUCAUUAGUCGCUCAAGGAUGACACCUUCUAUGUUGUGCUUGUUACCAUUGUAUAUUAAUCUACAGUUUUAUGUCAAAUACUUUUUUGAAAUCCAAGUAGAUUAUGUCAAUUAAUCACUUUGCACAGUCUGUGUUCCUUGUGAUCUCAUCUCUUAUUAAUAUCUUAAGGAUCUUGCCUACCACCAAGGUCAAACUGGUCUAUAAUUUCCUAGCUCCACCCCAGGCCUUUUUAAAGAGGGUUAUGUUUGUGUUAAGGUGUCCUUCAGUAGCUGCUUCAUUUUCGGAAUGCUAUUAAGAAUCUCUAAUCUGGUUUCAAUGGCUUUGAUUUCUAAAGUUUUCUAGAAGUACUGAAAAGGUGGCUUAUAGUUGCUUCAGUUGGCCUUUUUGGUGUUAAACCUGGACUCUUCACUGCUAGAAUCUUUCCACAUCUGGCACCGUUUCAUCUUCUUUCUACACAGAAAGUAGCUCACUUCGGUUUUCAUUUGCCUCUUUAUAGUGUAAGGUUUCUAGCUGCAAAUCAAAAAAACCUUCAUCCUUGUUUGUUUUUUUUUCCCUGCUUCUGUGAACGUGUUGAUUCUUUUCGUGUUCAAAGUGUAGGCAACGUACAGGAUUGCAUGGGCUAUACAAAUAUUCUUGAUUAGAUUCUGCUUUUCAGGGGCGGAAAUAAAAAAAACCCAACUUCUAUUAAUAACUGUUUAGCUCUAAUUGUAUCCCAUUUAUAUAUCUCUUUAUAUAUCCAUCAAGUUUGAUGGAUAUCAAUCUUUAUAUUCUCUUUAUAUAUGCAUCAGGUUUGAAAGAAAUUCAUUAGAGGGCAGACUAUUUUACUUUGAAGCCUUCAACACAUCCCAAGCAUAGCAAUGGAAUCUAAAAAGCAGAAAGAAAGCAAAAUUGCAGCACAGUAAACAACUGUAUACAUAUUACAGGCUAAAGCUGAUUGAGAUGAGGAAAAGUUAUCAGACAGAAAUGAUAUUUUAAUACAUUCUGUAGAUAAAGUCUUUGUCCAGGUUGGAGUAAUUACAGUUGAAAGUGGUGUCCAGAAAGUUAAUUAAACAAAUAGCAUCCUUGCCAGUGGCCUUAACAGAAAUCCAAAUGGCUAAAAGAACUGUCAGUAGCAAGUACUGUACCUGUCAUAAUUAGAACCAAGGCCUGGCUACCACAAUGAGUCACAGAGAGAAGAUUUGACUUCAUUUUGUCGAGUCUAUGUGUGACAUAAGAGUAAACAGGAGAUUUCACUGUAAAUCCUUAUUAGAAAUCCUUCAAGAGAACGAAAAUAUGUUAAAAAUAUACUGUGGAAAUUUAUUUUAUUUAUUUCGAAGGAAAACCUCUUGCUGUUCUAAACUUUCUUACCUGCUGAUUUUCAUCAGUGACAUGAGUAAAUAUAUAUAUUUAACUUGGUUUUGAUUUGGUUUCUCUCAGUUCUGAGCGAGAUUGCCCAUUCAUGUUGUAUGCAGAGCAGUGCAGAUGAGGGCACAGAACAUGCCAUGAUUAUGGUGUCAGCAUUCUCAGCAUGUAGCAUAGCUUCAAAGGCAUGUCACAAAUUAAGAUCAUGUUUAAUACUGUUGUCUUUGCUGAUGCUUGUCAAAUUUGUCACUGGUGUUACAGCUUUUUUUUGGGUUUGCCACCCAGACUCUUCUUGAGACCUGGUCAAGGAUGCAGCAUAAUGGCUGUACCUUUUGAAAAAGAACGCGGCUUUUUCCAUCAGUAACUACCAAUAUGGUGCAGGAGGGGACAUGAGUGGAGUUCUCAGCCCUUUCAGGGAGAGGGAAAUGUUUGGGCAGGAGUGGGUGCUUCAGUGGAUCAAGACUUGGUGCAAGGCUCAUGUUGCAGACUGGAGUUUGGCUCUUACCACACAUGCAAUUAGGAGGAGCAAGGACUUUAAAGUGGGACCCGGAUCCAUCUGACAAGGUGUGGCAAAAAGAGUGUCUUUGAGAGGCUUCAAACUUAAUAAGGACAGCUUGAAACUGGUAAGCUACUCAUGAUGUAGAGCAAGCAUGCACUGCUUAAUCUCAUGGUGCACCAUAUUUAGACUGAUUUCAGAGAGGCACACACUUAAGCUGAAGUAUGAACCAUGCCAAAGCUGAAACCUAAAAUCCUUUUUUUAUUUUUUUCUCUUCAAGAAGGUAGUAGCUAUAUUUUCUUUUCCUUUCCUUUACACCAAUACAAAUGACUACCUGAGAAAGAGAGGGCAUAAACAGCAACUCAUGUAUUUUCUUGUAUUUGCUUAGUAUUCACUUGGGGAGCAGGAAAAGGGGCCUAAAUCCCUUACGUCGAACAAGCUCAACACAGUAAAAUCAGUGAGUUCCCAAAGCUGCUCUAUCACUGCACCCAUCAGAGGGCAGCAGAAACUGCAAAACAGGCCACAGAUGCUUCUUCGUUGCUUUUAAUUUCACAUUCAGGAAGAACCAGAAGAGAAAAGAAACAAUUUAGAAAAAAAAAAAAGCAACACUUCAGAAGCACUUCUGGUAAAAGCUGGAUUGAUGCCUCAUUUUAAUAGCUUUGAAGUGGUCUAGAGCACAUUUUCCAACAGCAACUGUUCUGCAUGUGGUAGUUGGAGCAUUUGCAGUGAGGAUAUGAGGCCAUGUUAGUAUAAUGGCAAUUUGGGUAAGGAUAUGAAUAGUCAUUACAAUGACUGAACAAAACAUUGUGGUAGAAGAAAACCAGACUGUUUUUUUAACAAAUUAAUGUUUGGUAGCAUGGAAUUUUGGAUGAAUGCCUUCAAAUAACAAGGAAAAAAAUAUGCUGCAGUUUGCAACAGAGAUAGGGAGGUUUGUAGUGACAAUCAAAUAAUACCUGUUGGAAAAUAAAAGGAAUAUUCCCUAAUUUACAACGAUCUAGGGAUUUCCAACACUAAUGCAUUUGCAGAAACUGUACCCACAGUAAUGCAUGGCAUUCAGAAACAAUAAAAAGCUAGAAAUAACAUGGGUUACAGAGACUUUCAGCCUAGUGAUCUCACCAAAUGUCUGCUGUGUCAUACAGAAGGUAUGAAAUUAGUGGCAAAAGCUUUUAUCUGUAGAUGACACCUUGAAUUAAGUUGGGUGUAGCAAGUGAAUAUAAAUAAAUAAUGGAUUUAUCUUGCUACUUAUCUGAGUUAUUAACAGUAUUUUGAAGUGACAGAAGUAAUUGUCAGAAAGUAAGUAAAUCCAGUAAGGUUACUCUGAAAUAAACAUUGAAAGUAUUUCUGUGAGUAAACUUUUAUUCCUGUGCCAAAGAAGCACCCAUGAGGAGAGAGGCUUUAAAAGAAUGGAAACAAGAGCAGAGCCCAAAAUGUGUAAUUAUCUGUGGAUUGCACACUAAUCUGGACAGCUAGUUCACCUGCUUUAGGAACUUCAUGCAAAUUCUCACCCAAAUCUGAUCUGCUUUCCCAUCUGAAGAAUUUUUGUUGUCUAGUAUGUACAGGCAGAGUUCUGGAAAUGGCAUAAAAGCCUGUUCUGGCAGCUCUAAAGACAUGGAAACCAGUUAGUUGAAAUGAUUCAAGCAGCCUGCUCUCUUCCCUCAAGCAAAACCACAAAUCAGAGCUCAAGGAGAAAAAAGGAAGAGAUCCUUCCUCAGAGACAAGAAAGGUCUGUUUUGUGGAGGGUUUCAAAUCCAUCCUGCUUUAGGGGUGUACCACUCACUGGUGGCUUAGCAGACCUUGUUUCUUUUACAUAUCACAUUCAUCAUCAUAGAGCCUUCAUGCUCUUUGUGUUGGAUCAGGCGGGUGAAUUCACCUCUCCAUCCAAGGCAGCACCACAGUGAUUUCCCAAACUAAGAAAAAUGCAGAGUAUUGUGACAAGGGGCAAGGAUUUGGGGAAAAAAACAAGGUAUGCCAACUGUAGGGUUUCUGAAGUGCGCUUUUUCUUUGAAUUUUUAAAAAUAUAUUGAAAAUGUGUAAUGCAUGGGGUUGAGGCAGAAGUGCACCUAAACCAAAUUUAGCAGAAACUGUUUCCACAAGAAAUGUUAAUUCUUACAGAACCUGCCCAGAUCCUGUGAAUUUAGGAGGGAGACUGCUCUGUGUGGGAUUUUGCUUCUGGUGAAAGGCAGGAGCUGGCAGUUCACUCUUCCAUCUGAUAGGUGACAUCAGUGAGAACUAGGUCUCAAGUGACAUUAUUUCUCAUGAAAUCCAGAUGCAGUUCAAAGAUGCUGCCAAUAAACAAUUCAUUCAGUUUGCUGAUGUGUUUUUUCCUCACACAGUGGUACAUCGCACUGCUUUGAAUAUUCAUUCCCUUCAUUUUCAUCCCUGAGUAAAUGAAUACAUCACUUUUCACUGUCUGUAAUUUAUGUAAUUACCUUUGUCAUUUGGAAAAGAUUUAAGCAGAUGAAAGGAUUGAAGAGAGGAUAAGGGAUUUUUUUCUUAAAGUUUUAACAAUAAAAGCAAACUUGUGAUUUUAGUAAAAGAAAACCACAAACAUUCUUUGUCACACUCGAGGGCUGCCCUUGGAGGCUGCAAGCAGAACUAGCAAGGAUGAUGUUUUCAGUGCUCUCAUGAGUGGCAGAAGAAGAAGCAUGAGGAAUUAUCAUUUCCCCUGAAGACUCAGAACACGAAAUAGUUUAAAGCUGAUUAUGUUUUAGUUUUUUCUCAAAAGGGUCUGAAAGACAAGUAGAAAGCAGGCCUUGGGCAGCAGCAUUUGCUCCAUAAAUGAUACUCAUCAUAGAUAUCGGUAAAACAUCUUACAAAUGUCUUGUUUUGGACUAGCACCUUCUGCAUCCAGUGCUGAUUUUUCAUGCUUCUAGGUCCAUCUAAAAUCAGGUUUGUGUCAGUUUAGUUAUUAUUUUUAUAAAAACUGAAAUAGCCAUGCUAGGUAGCCCCUGGUGUAAAUACUUCUGUAAAUGAAUAACGGUGAUUAGAUUAACAUAAACAAUUCUCUCAUGGAAGGAUAUUGUUAACUCAGCACAGCUAAACUAAUAGGAGUUUUCUGUAUUGGAAAAACCUUUGAGAAGUGUGAGGAGAUCCUGGAGGCAAAUGUAUCUUCAAUCCUUUUACAGUCCCUAUCAGGGACUAGUAUUUUGCUGCCAAUCCUCACUCAGUCACUUUUGUCAGCAUUUCCUCAUUACUGUUAAACCUCUUGACUUCACUGACCCAGGAACUCCUGGCAAAGAAUACAGUGAGCAAUUUGUUUUAUCCAGGUCUUAGUCCUGCUGAAGCUGUUUGUGAAAUAAUCAUCGUUUGUGCUGCCCCUCUCAUAGCAUCUUUCAUUAGACUCAUCUGAUCAGUCUGUAACUGGACAUACUCACCAGGCUAAACCUUAGGUCAUCAAUGAUGCUGACACAGGCAACAUAAGGCAAAGAAGAGUGGGGAAAAGGAUGAAACAGAGAACUACAGGGAAGAAUUGAGAAGGAAGAAGAACGACUGCAGUUUGUGAAUUUGUAAACUUUCCUGCCUCAACCUUAAAACUUAAAAUUGAAUGUGUUUUAAAUCCAGUGCAUAACAAAUGUAUUUCUAUCACCGCCUCGUCAUGUUUCCUUAAUUU